rnacentral:rRNA from 1 species
UACGUAGGGGGCAAGCGUUGUCCGGAUUUAUUGGGCGUAAAGAGCGUGUAGGCGGCUUGGUAGGUCCGCUGUGAAAACUCGAGGCUCAACCUCGAGAUGUCGGCGGAAACCACUUGGCUAGAGUCCGGAAGAGGAGAGUGGAAUUCCCGGUGUAGCGGUGAAAUGCGCAGAUAUCAGGAGGAACACCGAUGGCGAAGGCAGGUCUCUGGGCAUUAACUGACGCUGAGGAGCGAAAGCAUGGGGAGCGAACAGG